AUUGAACGCUGGCGGCAGGCCUAACACAUGCCAGUCGAGCGGAUGAAGGGAGCUUGCUCCUGGAUUCAGCGGCGGACGGGUGAGUAAUGCCUAGGAAUCUGCCUGGUAGUGGGGGAUAACGUCCGGAAACGGGCGCUAAUACCGCAUACGUCCUGAGGGAGAAAGUGGGGGAUCUUCGGACCUCACGCUAUCAGAUGAGCCUAGGUCGGAUUAGCUAGUUGGUGGGGUAAAGGCCUACCAAGGCGACGAUCCGUAACUGGUCUGAGAGGAUGAUCAGUCACACUGGAACUGAGACACGGUCCAGACUCCUACGGGAGGCAGCAGUGGGGAAUAUUGGACAAUGGGCGAAAGCCUGAUCCAGCCAUGCCGCGUGUGUGAAGAAGGUCUUCGGAUUGUAAAGCACUUUUAGUUGGGAAGAAGGGCAGUAAGUUAAUACCUUGCUGUUUUGACGUUACCAACAGAAUAAGCACCGGCUAACUUCGUG
rnacentral:rRNA from 1 species